rnacentral:rRNA from 1 species
UACGUAGGGCGCAAGCGUUAUCCGGAAUUAUUGGGCGUAAAGAGCUCGUAGGCGGUUUGUCGCGUCUGCCGUGAAAGUCCGGGGCUCAACUCCGGAUCUGCGGUGGGUACGGGCAGACUAGAGUGAUGUAGGGGAGACUGGAAUUCCUGGUGUAGCGGUGAAAUGCGUAGAUAUCAGGAGGAACACCGGUGGCGAAGGCGGUUCUCUGGGCAUUACCUGACGCUGAGGAGCGAAAGUGUGGGGAGCGAACAGG